CAAGAGAGACAUGGAUAUACUGGAAAGAGUCCAACAUGGGGCCACCAAAAUGAUCAAGGGACUGGGGCAUUUAUCAAAUGA